UACGAAGGGGGGCUAGCGUUGCUCGGAAUCACUGGGCGUAAAGGGUGCGUAGGCGGGUUUUUAAGUCAGGGGUGAAAUCCUGGAGCUCAACUCCAGAACUGCCUUUGAUACUGAAGAUCUUGAGUCCGGGAGAGGUGAGUGGAACUGCGAGUGUAGAGGUGAAAUGCGCAGAUAUCAGGAAGAACACCAGUGGCGAAGGCGGCUUACUGGUCCGGUACUGACGCUGGAGGUGCGAAAGCGUGGGGAGCAAACAGG
rnacentral:rRNA from 1 species